rnacentral:rRNA from 1 species
GACGAACGCUGGCGGCGUGCUUAACACAUGCAAGUCGAACGAUGAACCCGGAGCUUGCUCCGGCGGAUUAGUGGCGAACGGGUGAGUAACACGUGAGUAACCUGCCCUUGACUCUGGGAUAACUGCUAGAAAUGGUAGCUAAUACCGGAUACGACCCUCGGUGGCAUCACCAGGGGGUGGAAAGAAUUUCGGUCAAGGAUGGACUCGCGGCCUAUCAGCUAGUUGGUGAGGUAACGGCUCAACAAGGCGACGACGGGUAGCCGGCCUGAGAGGGUGCGCGGCCACACUGGGACUGAGACACGGCCCAGACUCCUACGGGAGGCAGCAGUGGGGGAUAUUGCACAAUGGGCGCAAGCCUGAUGCAGCAACGCCGCGUGAGGGAUGACGGCCUUCGGGUUGUAAACCACUGUCGGGAGGGACGAAGCUCUGACGGUACCUCCAGAGGAAGCACCGGCUAACUCUGUGCCAGCCGCCGCAGUAA